rnacentral:rRNA from 1 species
AGAGUUUGAUCAUGGCUCAGGACGAACGCUGGCGGCGUGCCUAACACAUGCAAGUCGAGCGGGGAACUUCGGUUCCCAGCGGCGGACGGGUGAGUAACACGUGGGUAACCUGCCUUGUAGAGGGGGAUAGCCUUCCGAAAGGAAGAUUAAUACCGCAUAACAUUAUGCUAUCGCAUGAGAGUAUAAUCAAAGGAGUAAUCCGCUACAAGAUGGACCCGCGGCGCAUUAGCUAGUUGGUGAGGUAACGGCUCACCAAGGCGACGAUGCGUAGCCGGCCUGAGAGGGUGAACGGCCACAUUGGAACUGAGACACGGUCCAGACUCCUACGGGAGGCAGCAGUGGGGAAUAUUGCACAAUGGGCGAAAGCCUGAUGCAGCAACGCCGCGUGAGUGAUGAAGGCCUUCGGGUUGUAAAGCUCUGUCUUCUGGGACGAUAAUGACGGUACCAGAGGAGGAAGCCACGGCUAACUACGUGCCAGCAGCCGCGGUAAUACGUAGGUGGCAAGCGUUGUCCGGAUUUACUGGGCGUAAAGGAUGCGUAGGCGGAUGCUUAAGUCAGAUGUGAAAAUCCCGAGCUUAACUUGGGAACUGCAUUUGAAACUGGGUAUCUAGAGUGCGGGAGAGGAGAGUGGAAUUCCUAGUGUAGCGGUGAAAUGCGUAGAGAUUAGGAAGAACACCAGUGGCGAAGGCGACUCUCUGGACCGUAACUGACGCUGAGGCAUGAAAGCGUGGGGAGCAAACAGGAUUAGAUACCCUGGUAGUCCACGCCGUAAACUAUGAAUACUAGGUGUGGGAGUUGUCAUGACUUCCGUGCCGCAGUUAACACAAUAAGUAUUCCGCCUGGGGAGUACGGUCGCAAGAUUAAAACUCAAAGGAAUUGACGG